UAGGGAAUAUUGGACGAUGGGGGCAACCCUGAUCCAGCCAUGCCGCGUGAGUGAAGAAGGCCCUCGGGUUGUAAAGCUCUUUUGUCCGGAAAGAAAAGCAUUCGGUGAAUACCCGGAUGUUCUGACGGUACCGGAAGAAUAAGCACCGGCUAACUUCGUGCCAGCAGCCGCGGUAAUACGAAGGGUGCAAGCGUUACUCGGAAUUACUGGGCGUAAAGCGUGCGUAGGUGGUUGUUUAAGUCUGAUGUGAAAGCCCUGGGCUCAACCAGGGAAUGGCAUUGGAAACUGGGCAGCUAGAGUGCGGUAGAGGGUAGUGGAAUUCCCGGUGUAGCAGUGAAAUGCGUAGAGAUCGGGAGGAACAUCUGUGGCGAAGGCGACUGCCUGGACCAGCACUGACACUGAGGCACGAAAGCGUGGGGAGCAAACA
rnacentral:rRNA from 1 species